CGCCUCACUGCAGGAGAGCGGGCUGCCGGCAGGCAGCCCCACCGAAGGCGCAAACUCCCAUAAACGCUCAGGUCGGCUCGCGCAAGCGGGCCUGUACUGCACGA
rnacentral:ncRNA from 2 species